rnacentral:lncRNA from 1 species
UUUUUUUUUUUUUUUUUUUAUUUCCCUUUUAUUGCUUUCGAACUUUUUUUUUAGUGUCUAAUGAAGCAUGGAUGCCAAAGUGCACAGCUUUUAGUCAUGAAAUUUGAUUAAUUUGUCUGAUAUCAGGAAGAUAUUGAACUCAUAACCAAGCUGGGUUUUAAGGCAUAUCGCUUUUCCAUAUCAUGGACAAGAAUCUUUCCUGGUAAAUCUCAACCACUGCAGGGGCUAGAGUAGGUUUCAUUAUGCAUAAAUGCUUGUUGAUUCUGGAAUGACCAGGGUGCUGCUCUAUGUUCUUCUUGAUGCUUUCUUUAUAUAUAACACCAAGGAUAUGUGAUUUUCUGUGUUAGUUGGAAAGGAUAAUUAGACAAUGAAAAGAUCAAUUCAUCAAAAAACAAAAAUAACUGAAGGAAUAUUCUACAUCACCUACCACUAUCAGUCUUCCACAUUCACUUACUCUUGGCAUAUUAUGUAAGAUACACUGAAGCAUAGUAGAUUAUAAGGUCAUGAAUGCUGACCAUCUAUCUCUUUUGCUUCCAACUUGUAUCCUUUUGAGAAGAUGUUAGGUUUCACCAUUGUCCUUUCCAAACUCUAGAUUGGUUCCUCUUCCAUGCUUCAUCAACUCUACUGAAGAUAAUGCUUGCUAGGACAUGAAGAGUUUUACCUCAAUCACUGUCUCUACCCUUCAGAUAUUCCUAAAAAGUUUUCUCAAAUGCUAAGAUCUCCUUGUCUCUCCUUGAACUGCAUCUUAAUUGGUACCAUUAUCUUGGGUUUCUUUGUCUUCCUUGUCACUGCAGAUGGUCUGGGAUCCAUAGUCAAUGAUGAAGGGAUAAUGCACUAUGACAAUCUAAUUAAUGCUUUUAUCAGCAAGGGUAUGUUCUCAGUUUUCUAUUUCCAUAGUAUUAUGCUCUCAGUUUUCUAUUCCCUAUUGGAGAACCCAACUAAUUCGAAGAUAUAAACGCUGAAAAGAAGAUCUCUUAGUUUUAGCUCUUUUCUUUUCUUUUAAGUUUUUUUGGCCUUCAGCAAAGGGUAUACCAUGUCAUGUUUCAAAACAAGAAGUGGAAAAUAAAAGAAUUUUGCUUCCUUUUACUUUCCAUUUUAUUUAAAUUUUCAAAUAUUUAGAACAAGUAUAUUUCAAGAAGUGUCUGCUUCUAAAUAGAAAUUUUUUUCUCUUUUUCUUUUUAAAUAAAUAUUCUUAGGAGAAUUGUACAUGUUUUUAUACAUCAUGAUGCUCUUGUUAGUUGUAACCAAAAGGUGUAGAAAGGCAAAGGUGGAACAGAAAUAUAACCUCAGAAUGAAAAGUGUACCUCCAUUUGUUGAGUAAAUGAUGUAUCAGGUUACAAAGGGAAACAUUCUUGUUCUGCCCAGACUUUCCUUUUCUAUCCUGUACAUAUUCACUGAAUAAAAUCCCCGGUUGCUUUGAGGAUUCAUCUUCUAGCAUAUUGAACAAUGUGAUUUCACUUUUUGGGCAGAAAAUAUUUUGCCAUCUAUGCAGAAACUUGCUUUACAAGAUUCAGCGACAGAGUCAAGAAGUGGAUUACCAUCAAUGAGCCACGUCAAACUGCAAUUAAUGGAUAUUGUACUGGCAUAAAUGCACCAGGAAGGCAUGAUCAUUCUUUAUCUGAGCCAUUAUUGGCAGCACAUCACCAGCUAUUGGCUCAUGCUGAAGCUGUCUCCAUAUACAGAAACAAAUUCAAGGCAUGGAUUUGCAGUUUCUUGAGACCUGGCUAAGGGUAGCAUUCCAUACUUCACGACAGGGUGAUCAUUUUUCGAAGUACUCAUAUCACAAGAAGUUUGACACUGAUGUCUGCAUUCUCCUUUCUUGUGAAUAUCUUCCAAUGUUAAAGUUGGCAGUAGAAUCAGUUUCAAAGUCAUAACAUUACGUUAUUGUCAGUUAUAAAUAUAAUGGCCAUGUCACUAAUUUUUCUCACAGGACAAGCAAGGAGGACAAAUAGGCAUAGCGUUGGAUUGUGAAUGGGCAGAGGCGUUGUCAGAGAGGGAGGAAGUAUACGAUCCUGCCAGCAAACUUGCUUUGCAAAAUGCAAACUGGAUGAGAUUAAUAGUCAAUUUCGAUUAUUUCUAAACAUCUUUGUUAGGUACUUGGAUCCUAUAUUUUAUGGAGAUUAUCCAGAAACAAUGCGAGAAAGACUUGGAGAAAAGCUUCCAGAAUUUUCUCAGAAGGAUAAAGAGCUGCUUAGAAAUUCACUGGACUUUGUUGGUUUAAACCAUUAUACCACAAGGUUUAUUGUUGAUGCAGAGACCAACAGUGAAGACAACGAUGUCUUCUAUAGAGUCCAGGGGAUGGAAAGAAUUGGUGAGAUGCAUGUGUAACACAAGUUAAUGUCUCAAAAUGCUAUUUAUUUAUUACCCCUUGUAUUCCCUCGCGGCCAUAAUUCUUUUCUGUUUUUUUUGGGCUAAUAGCUGAAUGGGAAGGAGGCGAAGUGAUUGGUGAGAAGGCAUGGGAUAUUUCUGCUACACUUCUUUUUUUUUUUCAUUCUUUACUUGUUUUGGAUGGACAUAUAUACAAGCAACAACAUGUUUUGGACAAUAUCCUUGUACGUACAGCAUCACCAUGGCUAUAUGUUGUUCCUUGGGCAUAUGGAAACUUCUCAAUUACAUGGCGAGCAGACACAAUAAUACUGCUAUUUAUAUCACCGAGAAUGGUGCGCCUCAUUGAACUCACAAAGCGAGGUGGUUGUUAAUGUAGGUUUUUUUUUUUCUUCCUCUUGAUUUGUCUUACCAUUUACACCAAAUUCUUGCUGAUGUUAUAUUGCUCUUUGGUUGUAAUCUUUACUGAUAUUUGCUCAACCUGCAAUAAUCUCCAACUACGAUGCAAUCCUUUUGACUCCCUUGUUUGGAUUGCAUUUUUCUGAAUUUUUUGUAAAAAAAUUACUAUAACUAGAUAAAAAGAUGAUUGAAACAUGUGGUCACAAAAAACGUAACAAUUUUUCUUUGAAAAAUGGCAAUCCAAACGAAGAUAACAAUUCUGCCAUUACACAUGAAGAUAACAAUUCUGCUUGGACCAGAGACUGGAAACCAUCCACAAUAGAUCAUUUUUCACUUCUAAAUUCAAGUAUAAUAUGUACUCGAAAGCUUAUUAAACUUAGAAAAGAGAGAGACAUGUUGUCGGAAUUUACCCCCUCACCGUAAGGUCUUGAUUCCGCCAUAUCUAGCAAUCAACUGUGGAACCCUCUUACCACAACCCAGCCUCAAGCAAGUGAUCGAUCAAAACAGAUACAGCGAAAUAGCAGAAGCCCUGAAUAUGAUGUGAUUUGAAUGCUAAACACAAUUUCCAGGCACAGAAGACAGGAAGAGCAAAAACGGAAUUUCCAUUGGCAUAACAUAUAUAAUUAGCAGGAAGACUAAUUUUACAUGAUGAUAUAUACACCUAAUUGCUGUUGUCCCUCUUGCACUGAUGUUCUACAAGCCCCAACUGUUAGGACUACCUAAACUAUAAACUACUACAUCUUUUUAAACAUGAAAAGAAUGAAGUAAGAAUAAACCCCCAUCAAAUCAAAUUAAGCUGCCCGCUGCCUACGAAAGUACAUAU